rnacentral:rRNA from 1 species
UACAGGGGGGGGCAAGCGUUGUUCGGAAUUACUGGGCGUAAAGGGUUCGUAGGUGGCCACUUAAGUCAGACGUGAAAUCCCUCAGCUUAACUGGGGAACUGCGUCUGAUACUGAGUGGCUUGAGUGCAGGAGAGGGAUGCGGAAUUCCAGGUAUAGCGGUGAAAUGCGUAGAUAUCUGGAGGAACACCGGUGGCGAAGGCGGCUUCCUGGACCGACACUGACGCUGAGGCGCGAAAGCUAGGGGAGCAAACGGG